CUGUCAAGUUGAAUAUUACGCCCUGCCCUUUGUGACUUGAGUAAAUAUUAGUGAAGGUUAAUCUAGAGAGGAAGGUAGCAGUAUUGUACAAUAUUGCCCUAUUUAGAAUCUGCAUUGAUGGAAUAAUACAGUUCCAGUUCCCGCAGGGGCUAGAUGUGAUUGAAUCAGACAUCUCCCAGUGACGCAGUAACAGACCAGUUAAUCUGAUGGGAGUCACCGUGUAACUCCCAACACUGAGAGCCAGACCCCUUCUGAAUGUCAUGCAGCAUCCUUUCAACCCUCAAGCCAUCAUUAACUCUGCUGUCCCCACCUCUAUACUGCUGUCAUUUUAAAUAGCUAAUUUUUUUUUUUUUUUUUUGAAGAAAGAAAAGUAAAAUAAGAAACAAAAAAUUCUCCAGGCAAAUACGGAGCCCGGCACGGAACUCGCGCCCUGGAAAAAAGACCUUGCGCACAGCUAAGUGACGUCACCGAAAGCUGCAAAGGAAACCUGACCUGAAGUUUGACAAAUGUGUCUGGAGGGAUGGCAAAGAGGGAUUGAUGCUCACUGCAAACACAUGUGACUGGCAGAGGGAGAGGCAGAACACAAAACAACAGGUUAAACAGCAGAGUCAGCCUUGGUCCCUGAACAGAUUGUGUCCUGUUAAACAACAGGAGAUUUCAGCAUGAUACUGGACAAUCAACAUUGGAAGCAAAACUUCAAAGAUACAUCGAUCAUACCGAGAGGAAUCAAUGGCUACCACUAAG